rfam:Aedes albopictus isolate Foshan contig6454, whole genome shotgun sequence.
UGCCCAGCAACUCCUAUCCCUACCUCCUCGUGGUACCGGCCGGAAACUAUGAGCAACCUUAGGGAAGAUCGAGUAACCAACCCCGGUAAGAACUUUGGUCGUAGGCUGACAGGGAAGA